AGUCUUUCAAAAAAGAAAAAAACCACCGCGCGCGUUACGGUUAGGAUACGGGACGCUCGUUAAAUUCACCGACUGCUUUUUGAAAGGUACAUUUAUGGGUCAUGAAUUAAACUUUUUGUCAAAAUAAAUAAAGUGUUUUCCGCAAACGGAAGACGCCUGAGGGUAAGUCUCGUUUUUCGAACCCGAUAUUUUAACGGUUGUGGUAAAGUUUGUUUAUAGUAUUUUGGUGAGACUGCUUACCUUUAACAGAGUUUUUUUACGUUUACAGGAGUAGAAAUGAAGUGUCUGAAGGUGGAAGAGUACAUUAAACAGACCGGCUCCUCCGAAGAGACCAGACAUUUAACUCAAGAACUGCAGAAACAUGUCAGCUCUCACCCUGGACUCCAGGGCCGAACCCUGUGCGACCGGGUCAUCCGGGCCUGUAACCACCAGCUUGGAGCCGGACCUCCAGACCGUGAGCACAUCGGUCUGCUGGUGGAGCUGGUGGAGGUGUCCGUGUGCGGCUACGAUCGGUGUGUGGGCGCGGAGGCUCAGAGCAGUCCGCUCUACAUGGAGAAGAUCCUCUUCCACAUCGUGAAGAAGCUCAGCUCUCUGAAGGUUCCUGCUCUGUGCAGCCAUGUUGCUGCUCUGCUCUUUCACAGGCUUUCUCCAACACAACAGGUCCAGGAAGAUCACGGUGUCCUGGUGCGAAGCUGCUUCUCUGUUCUCUGGAACGAACUCUCUGCUGUCAAAGACGACGCGCUCCUUCCUCCUCGAAACAGACUCGGCUUCCAGUUGCAAGCUUUGGGUUUCCUCCUGCUGGACGUGGACGCUGCUGCAUCUUUUUCCUCUAAAGCUCCAAAGUACACAGAGGAGGCCAUGGUGGAGUUUGAACGUAGCUGUGGAUCAGUGACGCGGGAGGACGCUGCGUUCGUUCUGCAGGAAAUGACCGAGCUUUUCAACCGGACCAGCUCCGCUCAGGCCCGUCAGGGAAGCCACUUGCAGACAUUCAACCUUUUCGUUCUCUCUGAGAUGAUGCUGCUCGCCGCGAAGAUGCUGUGCAGAGCUGGCCACCACAGCCUGGCGGUCGGCUUCCUGGACGAGAUGGAGGUGAAGGCGUCCGAGCGCGUCGGCUGCCGCUGCACGCCGCUGGUGCUGGGGAAAUGGGCGGUAAAAGUUCACUCCGAAAUGAGGGCGGGCCGGCAGAACGGCCAGCCUCUCACAGAGUGUGCGAGAGAGCUGAGGUCCCUCCCGGGUGACCUGAGUGAGGCGGGGGGGCAGGCCCUCCUGGAGGGGUGCGGUCUGGUUUCGUGGGCCGUUGAAAGCAGGAGUGAGAAGGGCUGAGUAGCCCGUGCUCGCUCGCUUCUUAGCUUUUCUUUUCCUGGAGGAGUAUAUGAGUAUGAUGCGAUUGUUUGAAAAUGUUGGACAAGGUUU
ensembl:lncRNA